rnacentral:rRNA from 1 species
GAUGAACGCUGGCGGCGUGCUUAACACAUGCCAGUCGAACGGGAAACCUUUUAUUGAAGCUUCGGCAGAUUUCGCUGGUUUCUAGUGGCGGACGGGUGAGUAACGCGUGGGUAACCUGCCCUAUACAGGGGGAUAACAACCAGAAAUGGUUGCUAAUACCGCAUAAGCGCACAGGGCCGCAUGGUCCGGUGUGAAAAACUCCGGUGGUAUAGGAUGGACCCGCGUUGGAUUAGCCAGUUGGCAGGGUAACGGCCUACCAAAGCGACGAUCCAUAGCCGGCCUGAGAGGGUGAACGGCCACAUUGGGACUGAGACACGGCCCAGACUCCUACGGGAGGCAGCAGUGGGGAAUAUUGCACAAUGGGGGAAACCCUGAUGCAGCGACGCCGCGUGAAGGAAGAAGUAUCUCGGUAUGUAAACUUCUAUCAGCAGGGAAGAUAGUGACGGUACCUGACUAAGAAGCCCCGGCUAACUACGUG